rnacentral:lncRNA from 1 species
AGAGAGCAUGGUUUAUUGAAUUGUCUCCUGUCUUUUUUCUGAGACAGGGUUUCUCUGUGUAGCCCUGGCUGUCCUGGAACUCACUCUGUAGACCAGGCUGGCCUCGAACUCAGAAAUUCGCCUGCCUCUGCCUCCUAAGUGCUGAGAUUAAAGGCGUGCGCCACCACACCCGGCUGUCUACUGUUUUAUAAGCCUCUUCUCUGUUGUGCUGAGCAUCAAGCCUGUUGCCUUGUACAUACUAGGCAAGUGCUCUACCCCCAUGCAGCCCUUGCACUAAUGCUUCUUCAAUGGAGGCAUUUGUUGCUUCUCAGGCUGAAACUGCUGGACUCCAGAACUCAGGCAAAGUGGGUAGAGUGAAAAGAUUAAAAUGGCCUAGGGAGGAUGCAGGCUUAGACACAGAGAAGAUGAGGAUUUAUGAAACAUUACUCACAGUGUCCAGUUAUACCAUUUUGGGCAGUUAUUUCUUCAUCUCUAUAACCUAAGUUUGACUAGAGGUUAUGUAAAAAUGCUUUUCAGUGCCACAACUAAUUAGCUGAGCUCACAAGCAUACCAAAGACCUAUAAGGCCUUUAUAAGUGGUUCUUUUGGAUAUAAGAAUGCAACCUCGGUGCCACGGACCUUUAAUCCCAGCAUUCUGGGAGGUUAGGACAGGGACAUUUGUGUGAGUUUGAGGCCAGCCUGGUCUACAUAGAGAGUUCCAGGACAGCCAGGGCUACACAAAUAGAGGAAGGAGGAGGAGAACGAGAAGAAGAAACAUCUUUUAGGCGGGGUCGUAAGACAAGUUUUUAGUUAAAAGGUUUAUAUCUAUCAAAUAAUGGGUUGGUUGGCUUAUACUGCUUGGUGAAGCAGUCUAGGGUAAUUAGGAGCAUGGGAUAUGGAGUUGGACUUGGUGUUUAUUUAUUUAUGAGUGUAUGUGUGGCAUAUUUGUCUGUGAUACCUGUGUACUUGUGUGUGUGUGUUCAUACAUAUAGAUGCCAGAAGAAGAUGCAGGAGCCCUGCUCUGUACUACUCUUCUUGAGACAGUCUCUCACUGAACCUGGAGCAUUGCAAGCAGCCAGCAAGUCUCAGUGGUCCUCCUGUCUCUGCCCCUUAAAGUGCUGGCCUUACAUGUGCAAUGCUUGUUCAGAGUCUGCUUUGCACAGGUGCUGGGAUGUAAACUCAAGUCCCCACACUUGCACAUCAAGUCCCCUUAUCCGCUGAGUCAUCUUUACAGCCUCUGUGAACUUGGGUUUUAGUUUAAAAACUGGUUCUGCUACCUCCUAGUCAGUGCCCAGGGACAAAUUAUCUAACCCUUCUGAACACCACUUUCUGCCUCUGCAAGAUGGUGAUAAUAGAAGGGACAUCACACGCUUCUGAAGAUGAAAGGCAAUAGUAUAUGUAAAGGAGUUAGCCCAGCAUCUGACAAACUGGAAGUGCUCAAUCAACUCUGCCUGCUGGCACUGUUGACAGACUUCUGGUUAACUGAAUUCUCACACAGACAGGAAUGCACUUAUUUCCUGGCUAUAGUUUUCUCUUUCUAGAGGGAUUUAAAGAAAGGCACACAUGGAUCUUUUUGGUCCGAAGUAGCUCGAGCUAUGCAUGUUUGGAGUCCAUUCCUUGCUCUGCUUUUUACAGUAUCCUUAUGUGGGGAUGAUGGGAAAGGGUUAGCACUGUGUUUGGUAUCCAGAAAGUGCUCGAUAAAUGGAGCCCAUGAUGAAGAUGAAAUAACCAUCAAUGGAAGGGACCACCAUGAUCCCAGGAACAGCACCCGGGCAAUGGAGUAGGGGUGCACACAUAUGUUAAGAGGCAGCCGUUGCUGUUCCUGAAAGACUAGUGAAGUAAUGUGGUUUCCCAGACAGGUAUUUAAAACAGACCUAGUUUUGGAGGUGUGACAAACAAACCAAACCAAACCAAACCAAACCAAACCAACCAACCAACC